AUUUAUAUAGUUUAUAAAAAACUUUACAUUUUCAUUGUAAAAAUAAAGAUCUUCUUUUAUAAGUU
rnacentral:tRNA from 1 species